rnacentral:lncRNA from 1 species
AAAUUUUGACCAUUGGUGACCUCUCAAGCAAAGGGAGGGUUUGUCAAAUAUAAGUGUGCCUGUUGGCAUACUUUUCAAAGCCCCAUUUCGUCAUUGUUUUCUUUGGAAUGAUGCUAUUUUAGCCGCAGUCACAGAAGGAACCAAUAUCCAGAAAGGAGAGGAGGCCGAUGACAUAAUGACAGCAGCCAAGCUACGGAAUCUGGCCAAGAAUAUUGACAGGAGAGCGCAGAAUCGCAGCAUGAGGCGUAUCGAAGGCAACCUGCGUUACGACAUGACGGGCAUGUCAGACGAGCUAGAGACACAGUCUAGCUUCAUGAGGGUCAACUCUGCCGGAGACAUGGACGGGGAAUUGCUGGAGGAGUAGAUACAAAGUUAAAGGCUCAUUUUGAUCUCAACACUACCUAAAUCUCACACCCAUUUUAGACUAGGGUUUCUUAACUGGGCCAAAUUCAAUUACCGUGGGCUGUUCAAAUCACUUUGGGAAUUGGAAACCAACCCAACAGCCAAACCUUACACUGUUUUUGCAACAAAGUGAUUACACACAUCGACAUUCACCUCGCCCAAGAAAACCACCCUGCAGGCAAAAUUUCGGACCCAUCACACCCACUUCCUCAUCAUGUGUAAAAAAAUCAUCCCUCCUCAUCUUAACAGAGCCGCCACCAGUAGCUGUUCCUCUUUACUUCUAUUAUCUAUCAAAGGAGGCAGAUGUGAGCUUGUUACAGGCUUCAAAGAUACCGCAACCUUCAACUUUGUCUUUCGAUGUUUGACGGAGAAAAUGGGAGGAGGAAAUUAUUUAGGAGCAGCUAGCUGUAUAAUAAAAAUAAUAAGGUGUGUUUAUAUAGCCCAAUUUCAUUUGAAACAUAUCCACCAGCAUUUAUUUGUUUUCAAGGUGCUACAUCACAUGUUGGGCCAAUGAAACCAUAGAGAAAGUAUGAUGAAACGUACCAAAUACCAUCUCAGCUCCCUGGGGAGUAUACAGCUCGAUGCUGCCAUAUCGGUGCAAAGCAGCUAAAAUCAACCACAAUAACCAUUUCUACCCACACAGGUACCCAAUUUACUCCUGGGGUGGGGAGAAGCAAUGAGUGAUAAAGUGCCUUGCCCAAGGGCACACACGCCAUAACCCCAGGCUGGACUUGAACCCACAACCUGCAGAAUUACCGGCAGACCAUGAAUUCAGUGCUCCAGACCAUGAGGCCACGACACCCCACUUUAUCCACUACAUCUAAUAACCAAAACACUGCCCCAGUAUCCCACUUAGAUAUUCGAUAAUGGAAACAGGUUCUGGCGAAGGUUUGUUGUUCUAAUGACCUACAAAUCACACAAAUAAAGCACUGCGUUCCGCACGUAUGCUUACUUUUAAUAAGGCAUACAUGCGGAACUAGGUUAAUCAGACUACAUGGAAGGUCAAAUAAGUAUUUGGUGUUUUGCAACCAAAACAAUUUCAAAAGCAGUGAUGGGGUUGGCCAUUAUCAUACAAUAGAGCCUUUUUUGAGGUGAUACACAUGAGAAAACCAUUUUGUGUAUUCGUUGUUACACGAUUCGAAUUAAAAAACACUCCUCAAAGAUACCCUGUAAUAAUAUAGGUUUUCCCGGCUAUUUUAAAACGUUUAUCAUUCGAAUUCACCAUUUCUAGUAUUCAAAUUUGUCCAGCAACAUCGA